UACUGAUUAUAGUCUGAUAGCAACAAGUAGAAAUUUACAUUUGGCAUCAAUUGCCCUCAGUGCUAACUAGGAACAGAAGCCACAAAACUGGGAAGCUAGCAGCGAUAAAUUUACAACCUUGACAAAGAGAGAAAUAUGAAGAUGAAGCUAAUGGUUUCGAGCUCUCUCAGUCCAGAGGCAGUCAUCCUGUUGUUGAAGUAACAUCUUUUUACCUUUCUCAGGAUGAAAUAGCUAAAAUUCAUUUUAUCAGCUGAGAGAGGGGAAAAUAUGACACACAGACUGCCUGGUUAUAGGACUGUCAUGCUGUGGAGUCCCAUCUGCCCUUCCCAAUAAAUGUGAGCAAAUUACCCCAUUUCUUUGCUGGUUCCCUGGUUGCGGGCUGCAAGACAGUCCUGCCUUCUCAUGUAAUCAGAGCAGUAAACUGCUUUCAGCUCUGUCAGACACCAAAACCUUCCCCAUGUCCCUCAUCUGUAGGACUUUACGAAUUGCACCCAAGCAGCAAGUGCUUUGAGCUCAUGCCCAUUUCCUCUAGGAACCUAGAGGAGUCUAGAACUAGUGAGAACCCAGGCGUCCUGUCUGCUCUGCUGUGUUUUUGCUGUGCAAGACAUCUCUGUUCUCUUCUAAAGAGCCCAGUGCACGGGAACUAAACCUGCAAUGGCCCCAACCUGAUCCUGAGGAUCAGGCACAAAUCCAGGGUCACAACGGUGCCUCACCACCAGUGUUUGCUUCCUUCUUGAAUCCAUACAGCGAGUCAGCCCUGGCUAGGUAAGUACAGUCAGGGAAAUAGCACAGUGCCUGAGAUGCAUCCCGGUUUCAUAUA
rnacentral:lncRNA from 1 species